rnacentral:rRNA from 1 species
GACGGAGGAUGCAAGUGUUAUCCGGAAUCACUGGGCGUAAAGCGUCUGUAGGUGGUUCAAUAAGUCAACUGUUAAAUCUUGAGGCUCAACUUCAAAAUCGCAGUCGAAACUAUGACUCGAGUAUAGUAGGGGUAAAGGGAAUUUCCAGUGGAGCGGUGAAAUGCGUAGAGAUCGGAAAGAACACCAACGGCGAAAGCACUCUGCUGGGCCGACACUGACACUGAGAGACGAAAGCUAGGGGAGCGAAUGGG